rnacentral:rRNA from 1 species
UACGUAGGUGGCGAGCGUUGUCCGGAUUUACUGGGCGUAAAGAGCGCGCAGGCGGUCGGAUUAGUCGAGUGUGAAAGCCCCCGGCUCAACUGGGGAGGGUCACUCGAUACUGUUCGACUUGAAGACGGGAGAGGGACGCGGAAUUCCCGGUGUAGUGGUGAAAUGCGUAGAUAUCGGGAGGAACACCAGUGGCGAAGGCGGCGUUCUGGCCCGCUCUUGACGCUGAGGCGCGAAAGCCAGGGGAGCAAACGGG